CAGCCGCCGCGGUAAAACAGAGGGUGCAAGCGUUAAUCGGAAUUACUGGGCGUAAAGCGCGCGUAGGUGGUUUGUUAAGUUGGAUGUGAAAUCCCCGGGCUCAACCUGGGAACUGCAUCCAAAACUGGCAAGCUAGAGUAUGGUAGAGGGUGGUGGAAUUUCCUGUGUAGCGGUGAAAUGCGUAGAUAUAGGAAGGAACACCAGUGGCGAAGGCGACCACCUGGACUGAUACUGACACUGAGGUGCGAAAGCGUGGGGAGCAAACAGGAUUAGAUACCCCCGUAGUCCCUGUCUCUUAUAC
rnacentral:rRNA from 1 species